GCAAUGUGCAACAUAUACAUAUUUUCUGUUAUUGUUGGUGGUUCAAAAAAUAUUUUGUGUAAGUUCAUGGUGUUUGUCCUAUUGUGAAUUGUGAUUAUCGGUACUGCGAUAAAUUCAGAAUAGUGUAGUAAAUACCGUUUUGUCAAGAAAACAGUACUAACCCUACAUAACCUCACAUCUACAAGCAAUACAGAAAAUGCAAUUUUUCAACACAGACAAAAUGAUGAAUGUCCGGGCGGAACCAAAAAAAAAGAAGAAAUCCAGUUAGAAAUUGCGGGAGAUACGCAGAAAUUGGAUGAAUUGUUUCAGACUAAUAAUAAUGUUUAUUUGCCAGAAAGAGAAGACGUAAAAAAACAUGUAUGCAAUUUUGAAGAAAUUAUUAAUAAUGAACCAAAUUGUUUUCAAGUUUUCAGGGCAAGGAAAAAAUAAGCUCUCUUUUAGUGAACUCACAAUUAACAAGGCUACAAUAUGUAAAGUUAUGUGAUUUCUUAAAAAUUACGAACUUUGUUAGUUAAUUUAAUUGUAGGACCUCAUUAAGCGCAGACAAAAGCAAGAAUCGAAAAAAACAUGAAGUAUGAUUUUUUUUAUUUUAAUGAAUUAUAUCGCUUUUCAAUGAACUGGUUAUAGAGCAAAUAAUUAUUAAAUAAAUAUUUCUGUGUAACGAUUGAAAUGUAGCAGAACAUUGUUAUUUCCAUUGACAAUAAUGUAUUGUUAUUUCAUUGUAAGUUGGCAGUGUAUUUUUAUGUUUAAAAAAUUUAUAUUGUGUUUCACAUCAGGUGAUUUUUUAAGUUUAUGCUCUGGUUGGCCAUGAAGCUUAUGUCAGCAGUUUCAGUUUCACUGCUGACAUAAGUGUCAUGGGUAACUACAGCAGAAAUUUAAAAAAAAAUCACCUGGUACAAAUUUUCAACGAACUGGUUCUAGGACAAAUGAUUUUUAAAUGGCUUGUAAUUAAAUGAUAAGUAUAAAAUGCAUUUUUUUUAGGUAACUUAAAUAGUUUGUUACGUACAUUAAUAAGUUUGUUCAGUAGAAAUUGUAAGUAUUAAAAUAAAAAAUGACCAGUACCAUGUCCAAGUAUUUAAUUGUGCUGUGUUUAGUAAAAAUAAUAGAUGUUCAGUAGAAAUGCUAGAGUGUCUGGUUGACCUAACUGGCGAUGGCACGUUUUAAUGAAUACUCCUAUUCAGUAAAAAAAUAGUAAUAUAUAAGUACAUACGAGUAAUUGUAACAAUAGGUAGGAAGCAAUAUUUUUAACAAAUACUUUUAUUGGAAAAAUAACAAAGGCCUACCUAUACAUUGUUUUUGUAAAAAUCAAGAUAAAAUUCCAAGAAAAAAAAUAGAUCACAUUUAAACAUAGAAUACACUUUCGUGUAUAAAAAAAAUAAAAAUAAACAGUAAAAUAAUAAUAAUAAACAGUCUUCACUGUUUCAAUAAUAACAAAUAAAUGAUUCUAACUAUAUAAUAAAGAUUAACAUGCAUAUUCUAAAAAAAUAAUGAGAUUAUCUAUCACGUGUGGGGUGUUAACCAUAAAGAACACCAUAAUUUUCUAACGAACCUGUUCAAUUUCUACUGAACGUCUAUGAUUUCGACUGUACAUCCAACAUUAUUAAUUAAGCUUUCGUUAUUUUUCCAGGACAAUAGUUUUAUUUAUUGAACAAAAUGAAUAAUAUACAUAACUUCCAUGAUAAAAACAUAUCGUUAAAAUUAGUUACUGUAACAAAAAAUUUGUUAUAUGGUAUUUAUAUUUUCAAAUGAACAAUUGUAUAAUAUAUCGGUAAAGGUAACUUGUCGAAAAAAUAUUAUACUGAGCAGAAUAUUUUUAUCGUUUCAAAUACACUGUUAUUUCCGGUGACAAUGUAUUUUUGUGUUUAAUAAAUUUUAUAUUGUAUUCCA